ensembl:lncRNA
GCUCGGCCGGCCUUGAGACUUUUACAGUGCACCAUUAACAUGGUAGAUAUAAAAGGCGUAAAGGUCAUUUUCACUCUAAAGCCCGUGCCUCGAUGCUUCUAUUGCCUGCUGAGGGCAAAUAAAACUCAGCUCGUAAUGGCAUGGACGUGUUUGAGCUCCACAGCCGGCUGAGAGGAUAGCCUUUGUAUUCUCGGAGUUGUGUUUAAGAUUUAAUCCCAUGUUCCACUUAAAGACGGGAUUAGUUAUUUUGGUACUUAUCAAGAUAAACUCAUUAACGUAUAAAAACCCAUGUAUAGAUUAUUUGCUAUCAAAUAUUACAGUGAAUUAAAUCAUAUUUUUGAGCAAGGAAUAAAUAAAUACAUUUUGAAAAUGUGUUUAUAGCUGCUAUAAUGCAAGGCCAUGCUGAAAAAAAACUAUAGAAAACAUUACAGAAGUUUUAAUGGUUUUAAUGGUUAUAAUAGGAAUUGUAUUGUUUUUAAUGGAGACUAUACAGGUCCUUGUGGGUCUCUACUGGUAAUAUGUUGGGUUCUAUUGGUGGCAUGUUUAUGUCUAGUGGAAACCAAAACAAACCAUUAAAACCUAAUUGAAUAUGGUCCGAAUACACAAUACAUUUGCUAAUGGUUUUAAUGGUAUUUGUAAUGGAAACUUUUAGAAUUUCUGUAACAGUUUCUAUUGUUUUUUUUUCAACAGAGAUAACAAGAAACUUAUUUCCGACAUUAAAUAUAACUAUAUAUUUAAUUACAUUUUGAGACUACCAAAUACAAUGCACUCCACUAAUAUUGACACCCUUGAUAAAUAUGAGCAAAGAAGACUGUGAAAAACUGUCUUUAUUGUUUAACCUUUUGAUCUUUUGUUAAAACAAUUCACAAAAAUACUCUGCUCUUCUCCCAUAAUGCUUAAUGAGAUUGGAGAAUACAUGGCGAGGGAUCUGAGACCAUCCGCCAUAUAGAAUCUCUCCAGAUCCUUCAGAUUUCAAGGUCCAUGCUGGUGGACUCUCCUCUUCAGUUCACCCCACAUGUUUUCAAUGGGGUUCAGGUCAGGGGACUGGGAUGGUCAUGGCAGGACCUUGAUUUUGUGGUCAGUAAACCAUUUCUGUGUUGAUUUUGAUGUACGUUUUUAAUCAUUGUCCUGCUGGAAGAUCCAACCACGGCCCAUUUGAAUCUUUCUGGCAGAGACAGUCAGAUUUUCAUUUAAUAUCUGGUGAUAUUUGAUAGAGUCCAUGAUGCCAUGUAUCCUAACAACAUGUCCAGGUCCUUUGGCAGAAAAACAGCCCCAAAACAUUAAAGAGCCACCACCAUAUGUAACCGUGAGCAUGAGGUACUUUUCCAUAUGGC